rnacentral:rRNA from 1 species
AACGCACCUUGCGCCCCUUGGUAUUCCGAGGGGCACACCUGUUUGAGCGUCGUGAAUAUCUCAACCCGAUGCCUUUUGUAAUGAAGGGUGGCGGGCUUGGACUUGGAGGACUUGCCGGACCUGUGUCGGCUCCUCUUGAAUGCAUUAGCGGAGACCUUUUGCUUGGCCUUGACGUGAUAAUGAUUGUCUACGUCAAUAGGCCUGGCUCUGUCUGGGAACCGCUUCCAACCGUCCUCAAGGGACAACCACUCAUGAACCCUUUUGGCUUUGUGAGAGAAAUCAAACUUGACCUCAAAUCAGGUGGGACUACCCGCUGAACUUAA